rnacentral:piRNA from 1 species
UGCACUUGCAUUUGUGCAUCUAUUGGUUU